GGAGAGGUGGCUGAGCGGUUGAAAGCGGCGGUCUUGAAAACCGUUACCCCGCUUUGCGGGGUCUAGAGUUCGAAUCUCUACCUCUCCG
rnacentral:tRNA from 1 species